rnacentral:misc_RNA from 1 species
GCUCCUACCGAUUGAGUGAUCCGGUGAAUUAUUCGGACUGACGCAGUGCUCAGCUUCUGGACGUUGCGUUGGAAAGUUUCAUGAACCUUAUCAUUUAGAGGAAGGAGAAGUCGUAACAAGGUUUCCGUAGGUGAACCUGCAGAAGGAUCAGAACCGGAAGAGCAGAGCGUAGUGAAAGGGUGUAGAUCUCAGUGGUCUGCUUGUCAUUAAAAAAAAAAAAACACUAUCAUACUCCAUCCACCCACCUCUACCGACAACUCAUGAUAAUCACUUUGCC